GGGGUUGUGGCUCAGAGGCAGAGCGCUUGCCUAGUACAUGUGAGGCCCUGGGUUUGAUCCCCAGCACCACCU
rfam:Ictidomys tridecemlineatus contig037832, whole genome shotgun sequence.